CUGGAGAAGCCCGGAUAUUGACGAAGUCCGAAAGAAGCUCGGAGCAAAGUUGAUCGUGACAGGAGGAAGUUUGAAAAAGAUUUAGAGAGUAGUCAAUCACUGUAGAAAAUCAGCUAAUAGUGAAGCCCAGAGAGCAUUUGGAGCAGUCCGAUAGACUACUGAAGGAGCUCAUUAUCGGAGAAGUCUGGAGGGUAUGAUAGGAGUUCAUCCAUUGGAGGAGUCCGGAGGACA
rnacentral:lncRNA from 1 species